rnacentral:lncRNA from 1 species
CCACUCUUAGACCCGCCUCACUAACUCUCUGAUUGGACGGCAUCACUGUGGAAGUGUGUCAGUCAAUAGUUUUUUCGCUCAGUGACACUGCGGCUGUAUGUCCGGACAUGUAGAGCUCAUAGCGGCUUGGCCUUUGUUAGCGAGUCGCUGAGAAGAACCAGGGAAGCCGGAGGAGCCGCAUUCAUGCGCUUACAGGGAGGAAAAUGAUCAUCUGCACGAAAAACAUGGACUAUCGCCUUGGAACACAGUACCAGUUUGUUCAAAAUCAGUACCUCCUGCAGCCUGCGGGGGCCGCUGUUGUGGUGGCGCUGCUCUGCAUACAGGAGAACAACAGAGGAAUGUGUCAUUUAAACAUUUCUCAGAAAUAUGCUCUCAUUUGCCAGCCCAUAAAAAAAUCCCAUAGGCUUGUACUUGGAUUGUUAACAUUAUAAACUCGUUUUCUUUUUUCCCUCAACUAACCACUGGUCCAUUUGUAAGUGAGAAGUAUUAUAAUGGCAUUGUAUGCGUUUCAGAGCUCCCUGAUAUGUUUCACAUAGAGAGCAUUUUUAAUGUCCUGACUAUGCUGCUUUUGUAACCUUGUCAGAACAGUAUGGUAAAAUAAGUUUAAAAACAUGUAAUGCAACCGCAAUCUAUUAUGUAGCUUAUGGCACGCACAUACACACACAUAUAUAUGUUUGAGGCAUAACUGACCAUGAUUGACUAAUGGAUAUAAAGACCACAAAGCACAAAGAUGGCAAAAUUACAGACAUAACAGAUUUCACCAGCAAACCAAAUCUUGGACUUUCCAGACGGAAAUGUGAUUCAUCAAUAAUCUGUCUUCACUUCACUGUCCGUCAUAUGCAAGCUGCUGAAUGUGUGUCACACUGUCGGUUUAUGUAAAUGUCAGUCUUCCUGCUUAUCUGACUGCAUCCAUAUGUGGCUUGCCGUGUUUGUCUGUGUGUGUGUGUGUGUGUGUGUGUGUGUGUGUGUGUGUGUGUUUGCUGCCGGCCUUGUUUCAGUCCAACCCCCUGUGAGGUGCAGCUGGCUGUUUUGUUCUUCCUAGCUUCCAGGUUGGCAAGCCGAAAAUAGUUUCCUUUGUAGAGAGGGAGAGAGAUGGGGUUUGUGCAACAGCAGUUGGCAAGUCAAGGACUGAGCCCUCCAGGCCUUCUGAGAAUGCAGAUUGAAUAUCGCAUCUCGCUCUUAUUCUGGACUCAGGCCCUGAACUGAAGCCCCCUGUCAUUUAGAGCCUCAUGUUUAGACCGUCCUCAAAUGACAAAAGAUGAGCAGCAGGCUUAUGUUUGUCUGUUUUAUUUAAGUAGUGAUAUGUCGCACAAUUAAAAGGGAUCGUUCAUCCACUAAUAAAAAUUCUGGCAUCAUUUACUCGUGUAGUUUCAACCCUGUAUGACUAACCCAAAGGUUGCGAGUUCAAGUCUCCGGUCCGGCAGGAAUUGUAGGUGGGGGGAUUGAAUGUACAGCGCUCUCUCCCACCUUCAAUACCACCAGGCUUAUGUUUGUCUGUUUUAUUUAAGUAGUGAUAUGUCGCACAAUUAAAGGGAUCGUUCAUCCACUAAUAAAAAUUCUGGCAUCAUUUACUCGUGUAGUUUCAACCCUGUAUGACUAACCCAAAGGUUGCGAGUUCGAGUCUCCGGUCCGGCAGGAAUUGUAGGUGGGGGGAUUGAAUGUACAGCGCUCUCUCCCACCUUCAAUACCACGACUGAGGUGCCCUUGAGCAAGGCACUGAACCCCCAACUGCUCCCCGGGCGCCACAGCAUAAAUGGCUGCCCACUGCUCCGGGUGUGUGUUCACAGUGUGUGUGUGUUCACUUUGGAUGGGUUAAUACUUGGC